GUGUCCCUGUUGUCUGUACUUGCCCUCCAGGCCGAGAAAAGUUCCUGUUGGAAAGAACGUAGGCUGCCGUGGCGGUGCCCACCUAUCCCACCUACGCCCGCCUAUAACUCCGUUCUUCGGACCCAGCUCGAAGGGAUUUGGGUGUUACCUUAUAUCUACCUAGGAUGUCUAUGGGAGUGGAGGAGCUGUCCAGACGCUGGUGAAGUACAACCCAAAGAGCAAAGAAGCUAGGAACCAGGCAUUCUUCGUUUUACCCAAUACUCAUUGUGUGUUCUUGUUGCCUUCAGGAGAAGAGAAGGGCGCCACGGGAAAUCAAGCAGUUAAGGAAGGACUUAGGAGUAGUCAGGAGACUGGUGGAAGUUCUGGGAAAGGACGGAAGAGCCCUUGCCCCCCUCCCCUGGUGAUUACUUACCAAAGACCUCCAGAGUUCUCAGGCCCAGUCCCCUCCUGUCAAGAGACGAAAACCAAAGUUUUAGAUUCCCCUUUUCUCCUUUCCUAGAUUACCUUUUUAAAUAAUUUAAAUAAAGUUGUUUUAAAUUCCCUUAA